AUUUUCGUGGUGUAGCUUGUUAUCACACCAGUCAACACGCUGGUGGUCCCCGGUUCGGGCCCGGGCGAAAUGA
rnacentral:tRNA from 1 species